rnacentral:rRNA from 1 species
GUAAGGAAUAUUGCUCAAUGGGAGAAAUCCUGAAGCAGCAACGCCGCGUGGAGGAUGAAGGGUCUAUGACUUGUAAACUCCUGUAAAGAAGGAAAAAAUUCCCAUUAGAUGGGAGAUGAUGGUACUUCUGGAGUAAGCCCCGGCUAACUACGUGCCAGCAGCCGCGGUAAUACGUAGGGGGCAAGCGUUGUCCGGAUUUACUGGGUGUAAAGGGUGCUCAGGCGGAUUUGUAAGUCAGAGGUGAAAUCUUACAGCUUAACUGUGAAACUGCCUUUGAUACUGCAAGCCUAGAGUAUGGAAGAGAGUGAUGGAAUAUCUGGUGUAGCAGUGAAAUGCGUAGAUAUCAGAUAGAACACCAAUGGCGAAGGCAGUCACUUGGUCCAUUACUGACUCUAAAGCACGAAAGCGUGGGUAGCAAACA